UACGUAGGGUGCAAGCGUUAUCCGGAAUUAUUGGGCGUAAAGAGCUUGUAGGCGGUUUGUCGCGUCUGCCGUGAAAAUUCGAGGCUCAACCUCGAACCUUGCGGUGGGUACGGGCAGACUAGAGUGUGGUAGGGGAGACUGGAAUUCCUGGUGUAGCGGUGAAAUGCGCAGAUAUCAGGAGGAACACCGGUAGGCGAAGGCGGGUCUCUGGGCCGAUACUGACGCUGAGGAGCGAAAGCGUGGGGAGCGAACAGG
rnacentral:rRNA from 1 species